rnacentral:rRNA from 1 species
GACGAACGCUGGCGGCGUGCCUAAUACAUGCAAGUCGAGCGAGCUUGCCUAGAUGAAUUUGGUGCUUGCACCAAAUGAAACUAGAUACAAGCGAGCGGCGGACGGGUGAGUAACACGUGGGUAACCUGCCCAAGAGACUGGGAUAACACCUGGAAACAGAUGCUAAUACCGGAUAACAACACUAGACGCAUGUCUAGAGUUUAAAAGAUGGUUCUGCUAUCACUCUUGGAUGGACCUGCGGUGCAUUAGCUAGUUGGUAAGGUAACGGCUUACCAAGGCAAUGAUGCAUAGCCGAGUUGAGAGACUGAUCGGCCACAUUGGGACUGAGACACGGCCCAAACUCCUACGGGAGGCAGCAGUAGGGAAUCUUCCACAAUGGACGCAAGUCUGAUGGAGCAACGCCGCGUGAGUGAAGAAGGGUUUCGGCUCGUAAAGCUCUGUUGGUAGUGAAGAAAGAUAGAGGUAGUAACUGGCCUUUAUUUGACGGUAAUUACUUAGAAAGUCACGGCUAACUACGUGCCAGCAGCCGCGGUAAUACGUAGGUGGCAAGCGUUGUCCGGAUUUAUUGGGCGUAAAGCGAGUGCAGGCGGUUCAAUAAGUCUGAUGUGAAAGCCUUCGGCUCAACCGGAGAAUUGCAUCAGAAACUGUUGAACUUGAGUGCAGAAGAGGAGAGUGGAACUCCAUGUGUAGCGGUGGAAUGCGUAGAUAUAUGGAAGAACACCAGUGGCGAAGGCGGCUCUCUGGUCUGCAACUGACGCUGAGCUCGAAAGCAUGGGUAGCGAACAGG